GAUGAACGCUGGCGGCGUGCCUAAUACAUGCAAGUCGAGCGAACGGACGAGAAGCUUGCUUCUCUGAUGUUAGCGGCGGACGGGUGAGUAACACGUGGAUAACCUACCUAUAAGACUGGGAUAACUUCGGGAAACCGGAGCUAAUACCGGAUGAUAUUUUGAACCGCAUGGUUCAAAAGUGAAAGACGGUCUUGCUGUCACUUAUAGAUGGAUCCGCGCUGCAUUAGCUAGUUGGUAAGGUAACGGCUUACCAAGGCAACGAUGCAUAGCCGACCUGAGAGGGUGAUCGGCCACACUGGAACUGAGACACGGUCCAGACUCCUACGGGAGGCAGCAGUAGGGAAUCUUCCGCAAUGGGCGAAAGCCUGACGGAGCAACGCCGCGUGAGUGAUGAAGGUCUUCGGAUCGUAAAGCUCUGUUAUUAGGGAAGAACAUAUGUGUAAGUAACUGUGGACGUCUUGACGGUACCUAAUCAGAAAGCCACGGCUAACUACGUG
rnacentral:rRNA from 1 species